AGAGUUUGAUCCUGGCUCAGGACGAACGCUGACGGUGUGCUUUAGACAUGCAAGUCGAACGAGAAAGCCCUUCGGGGUGAGUACAGUGGCGAACGGGUGAGUAACACGUGGGUAACCUGCCCCUCGCAGGGGGACAACCGGGGGAAACCCCGGCUAAUACCCCGUACGCUUGCCGGGUCGCAUGGCCCGGCAAGGAAAGGUAGCUUCGGCCAUCCGGCGAGGGAGGGGCCCGCGGUCCAUUAGCUAGUUGGUGGGGUAAUGGCUCACCAAGGCGACGAUGGAUAGCUGGUCUGAGAGGAUGAUCAGCCACACUGACACUGAAUAACGGGUCAGACUCCUACGGGAGGCAGCAGUCGGGAAUUUUGGGCAAUGGGCGAAAGCCUGACCCAGCAACGCCGCGUGAAGGAUGAAGUCCUUCGGGAUGUAAACUUCGGAAGAAUGGGAAGAAUAAAUGACGGUACCAUUUUUAAGCCCCGGCUAACUCCGUGCCAGCAGCCGCGGUAAUACGGAGGGGGCAAGCGUUGUUCGGAUUUACUGGGCGUAAAGGGCGCGUAGGCGGCGUGACAAGUCACUUGUGAAAUCUCCGGGCUUAACUCGGAACUGCCAAGUGAUACUGUCGUGCUAGAGUGCAGAAGGGGCAAUCGGAAUUCUUGGUGUAGCGGUGAAAUGCGUAGAUAUCAAGAGGAACACCAGAGGCGAAGGCGGAUUGCUGGGCUGACACUGACGCUGAGGCGCGAAAGCUAGGGUAGCAAACGGGAUUAGAUACCCCUGUAGUCC
rnacentral:rRNA from 1 species